GUAGAAUAACUGGCAAAGGCGGACUGCGACAAGUUAAAAGAUUUGGUAAAUAUCAUUUUUAGGAAACCAAUUGAGGGCUGCAAAUUAUGCAGGGUUCAUUAUUACAUGAAUGCAUGAUAAAAUUACAAUAGGCUUUGCAAACAUUAUGCACGCAAGUGAUUCCAUACAAGUGUCGCACGUAUGGAAUCAAAUAAUGGCCGUUACGUUACUUAUUUACAGGUUUUAAAAGAGGCCGUUUCCCGUUGGGCCGUUAUUUACGGGCCUAUUUUGAUUUGCAGAAUAACAGCCUUUAAAUAACGGUAAUGGCCGUUAAAUAACGAUAACGACCGUUACCAAUGUGACAGAAUUUGUGGGCUGGUGGGGGGCAGUAAUUACAUGAUUUUAUCAGUCCAAAACAGUCCAAAAACCACCUAAUUUCAGUCCAAAAUAGCAGAGAAUAAUUCAGAGUAAUAAUUCAGUCCAAACUCACUUUUUUACUUUCAAAUAAUGCUCCAUUCUCUAGUCUUCACCUUCAUAACUCAUUUUCUCUUACUUGAAAACAAAAGACAGUAGUUAGCAGCCCCCUAUUGAGUGUUCAAAAUUUGUUCUUGCAAACAAAAGGCCUUAACAUUCUCUAUUCUCUAGUCUACUACAAGUUCUACAACCUUGCAAGUUGCAACGUCUUAAAAAUGUGAGUGUUCUUUAUUUUUUUGGUAUUUAUGUCAAUUAUUUACUGAUUUUUUUUCUUUUUUUUUUUGCAUAUUUAUUGU
rnacentral:misc_RNA from 1 species